ensembl:snRNA U1 U1 spliceosomal RNA
CCAGCUACCUGGCAGGGGAGACACCAUGAUCAGGCAGGUGGUUUUCCCAGGGCGAGGCUUCUCCCUUGCACUCCGGGUGUGCUGACCCCUGCGAUUUCCUCAAAUGCAGGAAACUUUACUGCACAAUUUGUGGUAAUGGGCGACUGUGUUCACACUCUCUCCUG